rnacentral:rRNA from 1 species
AUUAAACGCUGGCGGCAUGCCUUACACAUGCAAGUCGAACGGCAGCACGGGGGCAACCCUGGUGGCGAGUGGCGGACGGGUGAGUAAAGCAUCGGAACGUAUCCUGGAGUGGGGGAUAACGUAGCGAAAGUUACGCUAAUACCGCAUAUUCUGUGAGCAGGAAAGCAGGGGAUCGCAAGACCUUGCGCUCUGGGAGCGGCCGAUGUCGGAUUAGCUAGUUGGUGGGGUAAAGGCCUACCAAGGCGACGAUCCGUAGCGGGUCUGAGAGGAUGAUCCGCCACACUGGGACUGAGACACGGCCCAGACUCCUACGGGAGGCAGCAGUGGGGAAUUUUGGACAAUGGGCGGAAGCCUGAUCCAGCCAUGCCGCGUGAGUGAAGAAGGCCUCGGGUUGUAAAGCUCUUCGGUCGGGGGAAGGAAAUUAGCACGGGUUAA